GCCGGGCGUGGUGGCGGGCGCCUGUAAUCCCAGAUACUCGGGAGGCUGAGGCAGGGGAAUCGCUUGAACCCGGGAGACGGAGGUUGCAGUGAGCCGAAAUAGGGCCAUUGCACUCCAUCCUGGGCGACAGAGUGAGACCCUGUCUCAA
ensembl:misc_RNA Metazoa_SRP Metazoan signal recognition particle RNA